CGUAUAUUAAAGUUGUUGCGGUUAAAAAGCUCGUAGUUGGAUUUCUGUUGAGGACGGCCGGUCCGCACUAUGUGCGUGUAUCUGGUUCGGCCUCGGCAUCCUCUUGAGGAACGUUUCUGCGCUUGAUUGCGUGGAGCGGUAUUCAAGACUUUUACUUUGAGGAAUUUAGAGUGUUCACGGCAGGCAGGCGCCUUGAAUAUGUUAGCAUGGAAUAAUAAUAUAGGAUCUUGGUUCUAUUUGUUGGUUUCUAGGGCUAAGGUAAUGAUUAAUAGGGAUAAUUGGGGGCAUUUGUAUUAACGCGUCAGAGGUGGAAUUCUUGGAUUGCGUUACGACAAACUACUGCGAAAGCAUUUGCCAAGGAUGUUUUCAUUGAUCAAGAACGAAAGUAUGGGGAUCGAAGAUGAUUAGAUACCGUCGUAGCCUAUACCAUAAACUAUGCCGACUAGGGAUUGGAGGUCGUUCUUUUUAUGACUCCUUCAGCACCUUAUGAGAAAUCAAAGUCUUUGGGUUCCGGGGGGAGUAUAGUCGCAAGGCUGAAACUUAAAG
rnacentral:rRNA from 1 species